rnacentral:rRNA from 1 species
AUUGAACGCUGGCGGCAUGCUUUACACAUGCCAGUCGAACGGUAACAGGCCGCAAGGUGCUGACGAGUGGCGAACGGGUGAGUAAUGCAUCGGAACGUGCCCAGUCGUGGGGGAUAACUACUCGAAAGAGUAGCUAAUACCGCAUACGAUCUAUGGAUGAAAGCGGGGGACCGUAAGGCCUCGCGCGAUUGGAUCGGCCGAUGUCAGAUUAGGUAGUUGGUGGGGUAAAGGCUCACCAAGCCAACGAUCUGUAGCUGGUCUGAGAGGACGACCAGCCACACUGGGACUGAGACACGGCCCAGACUCCUACGGGAGGCAGCAGUGGGGAAUUUUGGACAAUGGGCGCAAGCCUGAUCCAGCAAUGCCGCGUGCAGGAAGAAGGCCUUCGGGUUGUAAACUGCUUUUGUACGGAACGAAACGGCUCUGGUUAAUACCCGGGGCUAAUGACGGUACCGUAAGAAUAAGCACCGGCUAACUACGUG